rnacentral:rRNA from 1 species
UACGGAGGAUCCGAGCGUUAUCCGGAUUUACUGGGUUUAAAGGGUGCGUAGGUGGAAUGACAAGUCAGUGGUGAAAACCUAUAGCUUAACUAUAGAACUGCCAUUGAUACUGUUAUUCUUGAGUGUAUUUGAUGUAAGUGGAAUGUGUCGUGUAGCGGUGAAAUGCUUAGAUAUGACACAGAACACCCAUUGCGAAGGCAGCUUACAAAACUACUACUGACACUGAGGCACGAAAGCGUGGGGAU